rnacentral:rRNA from 1 species
AUACGUAGGGGGCGAGCGUUGUCCGGAAUGACUGGGCGUAAAGGGCGUGUAGGCGGCCGAUUAAGUCUGGAGUGAAAGUCCUGCUUUCAAGGUGGGAAUUGCUUUGGAUACUGCAGUGCUAGAGUGCGGAAGAGGUAAGUGGAAUUCCCAGUGUAGCGGUGAAAUGCGUAGAGAUUGGGAGGAACACCAGUGGCGAAGGCGACUUACUGGGCCGUAACUGACGCUGAGGCGCGAAAGCGUGGGGAGCGAACAGGAUUAGAUACCCUGGUAGUCCACGCGGUAAACGAUGAAUGCUAGGUGUUGCGGGUAUCGACCCCUGCAGUGCCGGAGUAAACACAAUAAGCAUUCCGCCUGGGGAGUACGGCCGCAAGGUUGAAACUCAAAGGAAUUGACGGGG